GACGAACCGUGCGACCGUUGUUCGGAAUCAUUGGGCUUAAAGGGCGCGUAGGCGGGCCCGCAAGUCAGGGGUGAAAUCCCACGGCUCAACCGUGGAAGUGCCUCUGAUACUGCGGGCCUCGAGGGGGGUAGGGGCGUGCGGAACUUCCGGUGGAGCGGUGAAAUGCGUAGAUAUCGGAAGGAACACCGGUGGCGAAAGCGGCGCGCUGGACCCCUUCUGACGCUGAUGCACGAAAGCUAGGGGAGCAAACAGG
rnacentral:rRNA from 1 species